GCCAGGCAUGGUGGCGCAUGCCUGUGAUCCCAGCUACUCGGGAGGCUGAGGCAGAAGAAUCACUUGAACCCGGGAGGCAGAGGUUGCAGUGAGCUAAAAUCAUGCCACUACACUCUUGCCCGGGCAACAGAGUGAGAAUCCAUCUCAA
rnacentral:SRP_RNA from 1 species